rnacentral:rRNA from 1 species
AUUGAACGCUGGCGGCAUGCCUUACACAUGCAAGUCGAACGGUAACGGGUCCUUCGGGAUGCCGACGAGUGGCGAACGGGUGAGUAAUAUCUCGGAACGUGCCCAGUAGUGGGGGAUAACUGCUCGAAAGAGCAGCUACUACCGCAUACGACCGGGGGGGGAAAGGGGGGGAUCCAAAGACCUUUCGAUAUUGGGGGGGCCGAUAUCAGUUUAAUUAGUUGGGGGGGUAAAGGCCUACCAAGGCAACGAUCUGCAGUGGGUCUGAGAGGACGACCAGCGACACUGGGACUGAGACACGGCCCAGACUCAUGCGGGAGGCAGCAGUGGGGAAUUUUGGACAAUGGGCGCAAGCCUGAUCCAGCAAUGCCGCGUGCAGGAAGAAGGCCUUCGGGUUGUAAACUGCUUUUGUCAGGGAAGAAAUCUUCUGGGCUAAUACCCCGGGAGGAUGACGGUACCUGAAGAAUAAGCACCGGCUAACUACGUGCCAGCAGCCGCAGUAA